GAUGAACGCUGGCGGCGUGCCUAAUACAUGCAAGUCGAGCGAACGGACGAGAAGCUUGCUUCUCUGAUGUUAGCGGCGGACGGGUGAGUAACACGUGGAUAACCUACCUAUAAGACUGGGAUAACUUCGGGAAACCGGAGCUAAUACCGGAUGAUAUUUUGAACCGCAUGGUUCAAAAGUGAAAGACGGUCUUGCUGUCACUUAUAGAUGGAUCCGCGCUGCAUUAGCUAGUUGGUAAGGUAACGGCUUACCAAGGCAACGAUGCAUAGCCGACCUGAGAGGGUGAUCGGCCACACUGGAACUGAGACACGGUCCAGACUCCUACGGGAGGCAGCAGUAGGGAAUCUUCCGCAAUGGGCGAAAGCCUGACGGAGCAACGCCGCGUGAGUGAUGAAGGUCUUCGGAUCGUAAAACUCUGUUAUUAGGGAAGAACAUAUGUGUAAGUAACUGUGCACAUCGUGACGGGACCUAAUCAGAAAGCCACGGCUAACUACG
rnacentral:rRNA from 1 species